AUUGAACGCUGGCGGCAGGCUUAACACAUGCAAGUCGAGCGGGGGAAGGUAGCUUGCUACCGGACCUAGCGGCGGACGGGUGAGUAAUGCUUAGGAAUCUGCCUAUUAGUGGGGGACAACAUCUCGAAAGGGAUGCUAAUACCGCAUACGUCCUACGGGAGAAAGCAGGGGAUCUUCGGACCUUGCGCUAAUAGAUGAGCCUAAGUCGGAUUAGCUAGUUGGUGGGGUAAAGGCCUACCAAGGCGACGAUCUGUAGCGGGUCUGAGAGGAUGAUCCGCAACACUGGGACUGAGACACGGCCCGGACUCCUACGGGAGGCAGCAGUGGGGAAUAUUGGACAAUGGGGGAACCCUGAUCCAGCCAUGCCGCGUGUGUGAAGAAGGCCUUAUGGUUGUAAAGCACUUUAAGCGAGGAGGAGGCUACUUUAGUUAAUACCUAGAGAUAGUGGACGUUACUCGCAGAAUAAGCACCGGCUAACUCUGUGCCAGCCGCCGCCGUAA
rnacentral:rRNA from 1 species